GAUGAAGAACGUAGCGAAAUGCGAUAAGUAAUGUGAAUUGCAGAAUUCCGUGAAUCAUCGAAUCUUUGAGCGCACAUUGCGCCCCCUGGCAUUCCGGGGGGCAUGCCUGUCCGAGCGUCAUUUCUGCCCUCCAGCCCGGCUGGGUGUUGGGCGCUGUCCCCCCGGGGACACGCCCCAAAGGCAGUGGCGGCGCCGCGUCGGGUCCUCGAGCGUAUGGGGCUUUGUCACCCGCUCGGGACGGACUCGUCGGCGCUGGUCUUCCUCCAGGCGACCCUUCGGGGCUCGUCUUCCUUCGGUUGACCUCGGAUCAGGUAGGGUUACCCGCUGAACUUAAGCAUAUCAAUAAGCGGAGG
rnacentral:misc_RNA from 1 species